rnacentral:rRNA from 1 species
UACAGAGGUCCCAAGCGUUGUUCGGAUUCAUUGGGCGUAAGGGGUGCGUAGGCGGCGGGGCAAGUCGGAUGUGAAAUCUCGGGGUUCAACCUCGAAACUGCAUUCGAUACUGCCUUGCUAGAGUACUGGAGAGGAGAUCGGAAUUUACGGUGUAGCAGUGAAAUGCGUAGAUAUCGUAAGGAAGACCAGUGGCGAAGGCGGAUCUCUGGCCAGUUACUGACACUGAGGCACGAAGGCCAGGGGAGCAAACGGG